GAUGAAGAACGUAGCGAAAUGCGAUAAGUAAUGUGAAUUGCAGAAUUCAGUGAAUCAUCGAAUCUUUGAACGCACCUUGCGCUCCCUGGUAUUCCGGGGAGCACGCCUGUUCGAGUGUCGCGAAAUUCUUCAAGCCUUGGACGGAUUUUUUUUGUCUGUCCUUGGGCUUGGUUGUUGGGCUCUGCCGUGUCCUUCAUUGGGACGGCUGGCCUUAAAAGCAUUAGCCGAUCCUCGUGUGGUACUGGUUCUACUCAGCGUGAUAACAAUCUGAUCGUUGAGGACAUCUUCUGGAUGGCCAGUCAUCAUUUGGGUUGCUUCUAAACCGGUUUCGCAGAUUGCUCAAUCUGUGUGCCACUUUUCAGCUUUGACCUCGAAUCAGGUGGGACUACCCGCUGAACUUAAGCAUAUCAAUAAGCGGAGGA
rnacentral:misc_RNA from 1 species